UCUGCGGGGCCGGGCAGAAAUUUUGGGGUGCGCGGAAGACGAGUGGUGGUGCAGUGGGGACGGUGAGGUGGAGGACGACUUGAUCGAGAGCCUCGGGCAUGGACUUGGGAACCAGAGGGUGGCGGCUGCACUAGGGACUGAUGUAGGGCGGGUCUGACCGGAGGCGGCAUCAAGGGGCCGAGUGAGCCACGGUACUGAGGGGAUUGCAUAGGGCCAUACCCGUCUCGCUCCAUUUUCUAACUAAGGGAUUGAGGGAGUCUGUUUGCUUCUUGAUUCCGAGUAUCAUGUAGACCGGCUAACAGAAUAGUCUGGACAGUGGGUGUCUUUGUUGAGGUCGGGGGAGCUGGACGGCGACUUUUUGUCUUUAUUCGGAGAAGCCCACUUCCACCCACAGAGUUGGGGCUCACACUUCCAAGUUUAUUUGUGUUUUGUCAUUUGUUUUCCAACCCAUCUUACCCCUUCCCAAGGUUUCAGAUCCUCAACGAUUUUUCACACGGGAAUGAUUUGCAAAGAGGUCCAAGGAAGUCGCUGUUGGAGGGUAGCCAAGCUGGAAGGGGGACGUUGCUUUGGCCCUGCAAAGUAAGAAGACAAGCGGCCCCAUAGAGUCAUACCCUCGAUUGAAAACGGCAUCUUUUCACCUACCAGCGAAAGCAGGGAGAUGUUUAAAGAAGAUAUUAUUGAUGAUAGGCCUACUGACGUCUAGCAAUCCGUUCUGGAGGAACACUGGUCUUGGAUACUCCUAAGGUAUCUGUCUACACUUUGACAAGAUGAGAAAUUUCUUCUUGAGGGUAUCAGAAGGGUUGAAAAUACUGAUAAUACUUUGUGCUGUUUUUAUUUUUUCCCUUUGCACAUUAUUCUGAAAACAAAUUAACUAGUUACUUGGGUCUCUGAAGGUAUUCACUACACCUUUGUGUUAGGAGUUAAUAAAAUUACAGCUGGAAGAUGUAUCCUCUGAUCAAAGAAAGGUUAGACAGAGUGAUUAAAAAUAACCAAGUCAUGGUAGAAAUAGUCUUUCAAAAGCAUGCAGGUGAUAACUGCAAAAACAGUGUUUUGAAGAAUGAUCUUAUUUCUCGUGUGUCCAGGAACAAGCCAUAAGAUGAAUAGCCUUUCUCAUUUUUAGGCAAAGGUAAUACGUGUUGGUAUCAUUUCUCUGUGAACACAACAGUGAAAGAGGCUUACACAGAUAUUUUGGUUAUGCAGAAACACUUUUGCAAGUAAUGGUGGUAAGUAUAAGAAAAGGAAUGACUCUACAGAUUUGCACUUAAGCCUUAAUUUCAGCCUUUUAAGUUAUUUUUAGGGGUUGGUGAUCAAGGAUGUUCUCAUCUUGUUUAUUUUAUAAGAUAUUAUCUUAUAUAAGCAACAGCCUCAAUUUGAAUUAUAUGGUGGACAAAUGUAUAGUGGAUAAAGAGCUCAGAAAUCUUGGGUGUAAAAAAUUUUACCUAUAGAA